UGGAUGAGUGGAAUGUAUGCAAGGUGGAAUGAGUGAUAGGACUUGGGAGUAACGAAUGAGUGAGUCACGUAACCCUGAAAGUGUAGCUUUUAUCUCUCGUAUUCCAUGGUCGAGUCUGUAAAGACGGGAAAGCGUGGAGUGAGGAACUGGGAGCAUAAAGUGGGGAAAGAAUUGCACUACUAAGGAAGGUUAGUCAGACACGCUGAGGUUAAAAAAAGAUGGUGAAAAAAAGGGUGUUUCGACAGAAGGGGAUGGGACAAACCCGGAGAAUAGCUGGACGCAGAUGAUGCUUUUGAUGGAGAUAUCUGGAGGCUACAGUAUCCCAUAUGCCAGAGUGACUCCUAAAUACCAUACUCGUCUGCAAGGUAUUGAGCCACAAGUGGGCAAAAGACGCUUAUCUCAGGCACGUCAUAGAGCUACUUUGGCAGGACUGUUCAACAACUUACGAGAAACUGUAUUUUCACAACAAGAAAAUUCUGUCUCAAAGUCUCAGAUUUUAUGCCAGGCUAAGAAUUAUAUCCAGGAAUUGGAGCAAACUUUGGAAAAUCUGUUGAAGAUGAAAGAAGUUUUAAAUCUGGAGGACGGCAAUCCAUCCAGUUUGGAAGAUGUAAAGGAGGAAUAUGUCAAGAUGUAUUUCAACAAUCAUAGCAUUGUACCCUCUUCAGAUGUUUUGAGACAAAAUGGCAGCACGGUCUGGUACAUGAUCCGAGAACAUGAGAAACCAAUUGUAGAAGAAGAUGUAAGUCAGAGGCUAACACAGUCAUCAACUACCUCUUCUCCUGAUCUCAUGGAGUUUGAACGAUACUUGUAUUUUUACAAACAAACUGUAGACUUGCUGCUUGAUAAUGCAGUUGUGAGCCCAGAAGAAGUUAUGCUCCCUGUGGUCUCCACAGCUGUUUCCCAUCUGUGGCAGGGACUCCCAGAAGACAGGAAGGACAGUGUUUUGCAGUACUGUAGUCAAAGACAGAAUUUCAUCUCUGAGAUCAAGACAGCUUCUCAAGAACCUGCCUGUACUGACGAGGGCAGUAUGAGGGACAGUGGAAACAACAGUCAGGAAGCCAGCGGUUCAGUAGCAUCCACACCGGAGGAGAUCUUCUUUGAAGAUGCUUUUGAUGUGGCCACUAGUUUCCUUGAUAGAAACGAAACUCAAGAAAUAUCCAGUCAAAGGGGACCUCAGUAUAGAUUAUUUUGUUUGCAGCUCAGCGUUCACAGUCUGUGCUUCAGAUAGUCAAGAGGAUAAACAUCACCUCUACUUGCAGAUCAUUACCUUCUUGAAAAACUUGUUUUUUGCUAGCACACAACCAUCACAGGAAGAAAUUCUUCAGUUAGACUACGAGACUGUGAUGUUGCGAUGCACGGAGACAUUUGAUGAUGAUUUGUAAUGAACAUGUUCGCAUUAAGUGCAGAAAUAUAUAUAUUUCCUCAAUUUCCUUUAAAAAAGAAAAAAGCAUUACCAUGGGAGAUGUUACCAUAAUUUCUGUUACCAUAACAUACAUCAUGUUACAAACAGUUGUUUAUGUUGGCUUUGCAGUUUCUCAGCAGCUACUUUACAUGUAUUGAAGUUUAACAUUCAUAAAAUUCUUUUUUAAAUAUAUGUCUUAAUUCAGUGUU